GCGGGAUUGGCAUAUCGGUUGUGCACAGCCUUCCCAAGGCUGCUAGACGGGUUCGACUCCCGUAUCCCGCU
rnacentral:tRNA from 2 species